AUGCUUCCUAUUGCUCAGAGGUGCCUGUGUGUAUAUCUCCAAUUUCACUGGGACAGGAAGACAGAACAGGGACCACUUAGGGCUUUUUGAAGCUAAU